rnacentral:piRNA from 1 species
UGACAACAUAAUUCAGAAGCCUUGAAA